UGGGGAAUAUUGGACAAUGGGCGAAAGCCUGAUCCAGCCAUGCCGCGUGUGUGAAGAAGGUCUUCGGAUUGUAAAGCACUUUAAGUUGGGAGGAAGGUCAGUAGCUUAAUACGUUGCUGAUUUGACGUUACCGACAGAAUAAGCACCGGCUAACUCUGUGCCAGCAGCCGCGGUAAUACAGAGGGUGCAAGCGUUAAUCGGAAUUACUGGGCGUAAAGCGCGCGUAGGUGGUUAUGUAAGUUGGAUGUGAAAUCCCCGGGCUCAACCUGGGAACUGCAUCCAAAACUGCAUGGCUAGAGUACGGUAGAGGGUGGUGGAAUUUCCUGUGUAGCGGUGAAAUGCGUAGAUAUAGGAAGGAACACCAGUGGCGAAGGCGACCACCUGGACUGAUACUGACACUGAGGUGCGAAAGCGUGGGGAGCAAACAGGAUUAGAUACCCCCGUAGUCCCUGAGCGGGCUGGCAAGGCGCAU
rnacentral:rRNA from 1 species